CUCUGGCGAGUCGUUGCUUUGGCGGGACGUGGACGUGUCUACUGCUGCUCCCGCUUUUCGCGCUCUCUCGUUUCAUUUUCGGCAGUGCGCCAGCAGGAUGGCCCACAAGCAGAUCUACUACUCGGACAAGUACUUCGACGAACACUACGAAUACCGGCAUGUUAUGUUACCCAGAGAACUUUCCAAACAAGUACCUAAAACUCAUCUGAUGUCUGAAGAGGAGUGGAGGAGACUUGGUGUCCAACAGAGUCUAGGCUGGGUUCAUUACAUGAUUCAUGAGCCAGAACCACAUAUUCUUCUCUUUAGACGACCUCUUCCAAAAGAUCAACAAAAAUGAAGUUUAUCUGGGGAUCAUCACAUCUUUUCCAAAUUUAAUGUAUAUGUGUAUAUAAGGUAGUAUUCAGUGAAUACUUGAGAAAUGUACAAAUCUUUCAUCCAUACCUGUGCAUGAGCUGUAUUCUUCACAGCAACAGAGCUCAGUUAAAUGCAACUGCAAGUAGGUUACUGUAAGAUGUUUAAGAUAAAAGUUCUUCCAGUUUUUCUCUUAAGUGCCUGUUUGACUUUACCUGUUACUUUUGUUCAAUAAAGUUUGUAUGUUGCCCUGUCUCCACAAAAACACAAAAAUUAAC